AACGAACGCUGGCGGCAUGCCUAACACAUGCCAGUCGAACGAGACCUUCGGGUCUAGUGGCGCACGGGUGCGUAACGCGUGGGAACCUGCCCUUAGGUUCGGAAUAACUCCCCGAAAGGGGUGCUAAUACCGGAUAAUGUCUUCGGACCAAAGAUUUAUCGCCUUUGGAUGGGCCCGCGUUGGAUUAGCUAGUUGGUAGGGUAAAAGCCUACCAAGGCGACGAUCCAUAGCUGGUCUGAGAGGAUGAUCAGCCACACUGGGACUGAGACACGGCCCAGACUCCUACGGGAGGCAGCAGUGGGGAAUAUUGGAUAAUGGGCGAAAGCCUGAUCCAGCAAUGCCGCGUGAGUGAUGAAGGCCUUAGGGUUGUAAAGCUCUUUUACCCGGGAUGAUAAUGACAGUACCGGGAGAAUAAGCUCCGGCUAACUCCGUG
rnacentral:rRNA from 1 species